UUUUAAUGGAGAUGCUGAUGGCGUAUUAGAGGAAGAACUUGAUAAGGAAGUGAAGCCUGACUUGGCCGGCCCGGGCACUGUGAUUGGAGCUGUUGUCCAGGACUGGUAUGGUCUUGUAGAAAAGAAUGGCUUGUAUGAAAUGUUCAUGGGACUCAUGGAUACCCCCAAACACUGGAGCAGCCAUGAGGCAGACCUACCACCAGGAAAGAUGGAUUUAAUACCGGUAUUCUUUUGGCAGUGGGACAAGAAACAUACAAAUGAGGGAAAUGUUAAUUUCCCAUUGUGAUCCUACAGCCCCACCCCGACGUCUUAACCAAAUAACCACCAUUUAGCAAAAUGUAAGAGCACCAACACAGCAGACUACAGGGAACUACAAAGAAAAGACGAGCAUUACAGAGACUUCUGAUGCUGAGCAGUAAGUUUUCCCAAAUUCAUUUGUAUUGAAAGCACAUAUAUCACAAUGUACACUCACUCUUGGUGAGUACAUUCAAGGAAAAAAGGCACACAAAGUUUACUAUUCCGAUAACUGCUGUUGUUUCUGUAUGUUAACAGG